AGAGUUUGAUCCUGGCUCAGAACGAACGCUGGCGGAGUAACACAUGCAAGUCGAACGCAUCCUUCGGGGUGAGUGGCAGACGGGUGAGUAACGCGUGGGAACGUGCCCUUCAGUUCGGAAUAACCCAGGGAAACUUGGGCUAAUACCGGAUACGUGCGAGAGCAGAAAGAUUUAUCGCUGAAGGAUCGGCCCGCGUCUGAUUAGCUAGUUGGUGAGGUAAUGGCUCACCAAGGCGACGAUCAGUAGCUGGUCUGAGAGGAUGAUCAGCCACAUUGGGACUGAGACACGGCCCAAACUCCUACGGGAGGCAGCAGUGGGGAAUAUUGGACAAUGGGCGCAAGCCUGAUCCAGCCAUGCCGCGUGAGUGAUGAAGGCCUUAGGGUUGUAAAGCUCUUUCGUCCGGGACGAUAAUGACGGUACCGGAAGAAGAAGCCCCGGCUAACUUCGUGCCAGCAGCCGCGGUAAUACGAAGGGGGCUAGCGUUGUUCGGAAUCACUGGGCGUAAAGGGCGCGUAGGCGGCUUGAUAAGUCGGGGGUGAAACCUGUGGCUCAACCACAGAAUUGCCUUCGAUACUGUCUGGCUUGAGACCGGAAGAGGUAAGUGGAACUGCGAGUGUAGAGGUGAAAUUCGUAGAUAUUCGCAAGAACACCAGUGGCGAAGGCGGCUUACUGGUCCGGUUCUGNNGCUGAGGGCGAAAGCGUGGGGAGCAAACAGGAUUAGAUACCCUAGUAGUCC
rnacentral:rRNA from 1 species